rnacentral:rRNA from 1 species
UGGGGAAUCUUGCGCAAUGGGGGAAACCCUGACGCAGCGACGCCGCGUGCGGGAUGAAGGCCUUCGGGUUGUAAACCGCUUUCAGCAGGGACGAGGCCUUAUGGUGACGGUACCUGCAGAAGAAGCUCCGGCUAAAUACGUGCCAGCAGCCGCGGUAAUACGUAUGGAGCAAGCGUUAUCCGGAUUCAUUGGGCGUAAAGCGCUCGUAGGCGGUCUGUUAGGUCGGCAAGUUAAAUCCGGGGGCUCAACCCCCGUCCGCUUCCGAUACCGGCAGACUUGAGUUUGGUAGGGGAAGGUGGAAUUCCUAGGGUAGCGGUGGAAUGCGCAGAUAUUAGGAAGAACACCGGUGGCGAAGGCGGCUAUCUGGACAGUAACUGACGCUGAGGCGCGAAAGCGUGGGGAGCAAACAGG